UUUGUGUCAAUGUUUCCUAAACACGUAUCACUUUGCCACUUUGUACAACACAUACUACCGUACAGCUGUCUAUUCUGCAUAUAUUUUUGAGCCAAGCAAUGGUGGAGGUAGAGAGACACGUUGGUUUGUAGAGCCACAGGUGAGUUAUCUAUUUUUUCUAUCCAUCUAAGGUGCCUUCAAAAAGUGUGAACCACUUAUUGAUUGUUGCAUUUGUUUCCUGUUACAACUCUUUUUUACAAAUUUUUUCUCACUUCAAUAAAAAAGUACAUUUCACUUGUUUAUGAAUAGAAAAAUAUAUAUAAAUUAAGAACAUAAAUUUUUCCAGUAUGAGAAGAUUAGGUUUCACAUGCACAAAAGUAUUCACCCCCGUGUCAAUAUUUUGCACGUAGUCGUUUAGCACCAGUCACAACCAUGAAUCAUAUGUUUGUAUGCACAUUGGAAACAUUUAUUGUGGAACUUGUGGAAGCUUAUCAAGCUCCAGCUCCAACAAAUUAAAUGGAGAGCAUUGGCAGACUUCCAUUUGUGGAAAAAUAAGUUUGAAACUGAAACUAUCAGUGUAGGUGGUCUCUUGGUCACUAAUAAUGGCUCUUCUUGUCUGAUCCCUCUGUUUAGUAGGAUGGCCUGGACUUGCUAGCAUCUGGAUUGUUUCACAUUUUUUGGAUUAACAAUGACUUCAAUGUACUCAUAAGAAGGAUCAAAACUUUUCCAAUUUGUAUAGCCUUCUUGAACAUUUUCCUCCUGACAACUUCAUCUCAAUUCAUGGGCAGCUCCUUGGUCUUUAUGACAGCAGGACUUAUCUGAUCUGCUGUUGUGAGACCUUAUAAAGUCAAUAAGUCAGUGUUAUUUACUGUGUAAAUUAAAUAAUUGAACACAAGUAGAUUCUGAAUGAACAAAGGUUAAUGUGCAUUUUGUCAAGAUUAUUAAAUAGCCCACCAAGUUAAGUCUGUUAAAACAAAAAGGGGUGAAUAAGUUUAAGUAACUAUCAGAUUCCUCUUUUUGUUAUCAUUCUGACAAUUUUGUGUUAGGCCAGCAAACAAGAAAAAAGCCAAGUUUUGCCAUUUUGUUAGUUGGUGGACCCCUCAUGGCCUGGUGAAAUGAUAGAUGGGUAUAAGCUGUCACAGCAGAUUCCUGAUAUCUACCUGGGUGAGAAACAGGCUCUGAAUGAGGACUACGCAAACUCAGGUUUUGACCGUGGACACCUGAACCCCAAUGGACAUCAUGCAGGUAUUGCAUUACAAAGAACUUAACUUUAAUCCCUCUGGCCUUUUUUGGGGGGGACUGAGGUCAAAGUUCGGAGCGAUUAAUUAACAUUAUUUUCUAUCUUGAGACCUUUGGUUUCUUGUGACAAAAGUUAAUGUUCUGAAUCUAAGUAGAUAGUCAGUAAAAAUAACUUUUUCUACCUAAGGCUGGAUUACACCACACAUUUUUAACAUUGAUUUUAGCCCUGUUUUUUAGUUGGGUUGAGUUAGUGCUAGUCUGCAGCAGUCAGAUUUUAGGAAAGUUUGAGUCAGAGAAAAAUGCUCAUUAUGCAGUAUCAUGGCUACAGACUCUGAUUUCUUACCCUCCAAUGACCCUGCUGAAAAGCAGGAUAGUUGGAGGGUAAGAAAUCAGCUUAUGUUGUGUUUUGUCUGCCGGUCACCCAGCAAGGGAUGAUGGCGUGCUGGUGACUCUACCCAGGCUUUUAAACUAGCUUAACCAGCUUCAUAAGAAAGACCAGGCUGGUCAACCAGCUUCACCAGCUAAGUUUUACUGGUGAAAAGCAUGACAAUGCUGGUCCAUCAGCUAGACCAGCACCAAACAAAUACUUACCAGCAAACCAGCCUAGACCAGGCAGCAUUCUGGAAUGGCUGACUGCUGGAAUUAAGCUGGUCUUUGUAGCAUGAUGAUUUCAUCUAGUCUGAGGAUAUAAAACACAUUUGAUAUUUCAGAGCUGACUAUCCACAACUAAAAAGAAUCAAAUCUCAAGCCAUAGGUGUAAAGUAAGUGGGGUGAAGAAGCUCAAGAAAUGGAGUUGGCGAACAAGCAAUCAACUGGAGUUUAACCUAACUCUCAAGAGGCCUUUUUUCAUGACUAGAAGCAGCAACAACAACAAGAGCAGCCAGUUCUGUCAUGUAGCUCCUAAAAUGGAAGGACAUGUGUUUCUGCUUGAGCCUGUGAUAAGACUGGAUCAGCUUGAUAUUCAGUUCUAAGUCGUAAUGCCACCUUUACUCUGACCAAUGUGGUGCCCCAAAACCCAACGCUGAACCAAAACGCCUGGCGCAUACAUGAGUCAGAAAUGACCGACUUGUUUAACACAAACUGCCAUCAGGCUUAUGUGCUGGUUG